ACGGAAGGCAGCAGUGGGGAAUAUUGCACAAUGGGGAAACCCUGAUGCAGCGACGCCGCGUGAGCGAAGAAGUAUUUCGGUAUGUAAAGCUCUAUCAGCAGGGAAGAAAAUGACGGUACCUGACUAAGAAGCCCCGGCUAACUACGUGCCAGCAGCCGCGGUAAUACGUAGGGGGCAAGCGUUAUCCGGAUUUACUGGGUGUAAAGGGAGCGUAGACGGCAAGGUAAGUCUGAAGUGAAAUGCCGGGGCUCAACCCCGGAACUGCUUUGGAAACUAUCUCGCUCGAGUACCGGAGGGGUAAGCGGAAUUCCUAGUGUAGCGGUGAAAUGCGUAGAUAUUAGGAGGAACACCAGUGGCGAAGGCGGCUUACUGGACGGUAACUGACGUUGAGGCUCGAAAGCGUGGGGAGCAAACAGGAUUAGAUACCCUGGUA
rnacentral:rRNA from 1 species